rnacentral:rRNA from 1 species
GACGAACGCUCCCGGCUUUCUUCCCCCCUUCCCUUCGAACUUCAAUUCCCUGCUUUUUUUUUUUUCUCGCUUGUCUAACGGGUUAUUAACACGUGAGUACCCUUCCCUUGACUUUUGGAUAACUUCAUUAAACUGGGGCUAAUACCGUAUAGGAGCUCCUGCUUCAUGGUGGGGGUUUGAAAGUUUCGGCGGUUGGGGAUGGACUCGCGGCUUAUCAGCUUGUUGGUGGGGUAGUGGCUUACCAAGGCUUUGCCGUGGCGCCGGCCUGAGAGGGUGACCGGCCACAUUGGGAAUGAGAUACGGCCCAGACUCCUACGGGAGGCAGCAGUGGGGAAUAUUGCACAAUGGGCGGAAGCCUGAUGCAGCAACGCCGCGUGCGGGAUGAAGGAAUUCGGGUUGUAAACCGCUUUCGCCUGUGACGAAGCGUGAGUGACGGUAAUGGGUAAAGAAGCAAAGGAGAAAUACGGG